CAUGAGGUUAAGGGUUUCAAAGUAGGGUUUGAUACAAGGAUUAGUGUUUCAAAUUAGGGUUUCAAAGUAGGAUUUCAGAUUAGGUUUAGGUUUGACCUGUAUGUAGGGUUAGGGUUUCAAAUUGCAGUUACAAACUAGGGUUAGGGUUUCAAAUUAGGGUUAGGUGUUCAAAUUAGGGUUUAAAACUAGCGUUAGGGUUUCAGUGUAGCAUUUCAAACUGGUGUUAGGGUUUCAAAGUGGAGUUUCAUAUUAGGGUUAGGCUUUUAAUUGAUAAAAAAAAAUCAAUUAAAAUAUUUUGAAUUACUUUAUUGUCAUUGGUUUUACUUUGGCUCAAUGUGUAGAAAUAUUGGACUAAGUAUUGGUAUGCUAUUGCCAUGAAUUGGUAUUUGAUUUGAUU